UACGAAGGGGGCUAGCGUUGCUCGGAAUCACUGGGCGUAAAGCGCACGUAGGCGGCUUCUUAAGUCAGGGGUGAAAUCCUGGAGCUCAACUCCAGAACUGCCUUUGAUACUGAGGAGCUUGAGUCCGGGAGAGGUGAGUGGAACUGCGAGUGUAGAGGUGAAAUUCGCAGAUAUCAGGAGGAACACCAAUGGCGAAGGCAGCUCGCUGGAACGGUACUGACGCUGUGGCGCGAAAGCGUGGGGAGCAAACAGG
rnacentral:rRNA from 1 species